GAUCCUGGCUCAGGAUGAACGCUAGCUACAGGCUUAACACAUGCAAGUCGAGGGCAGCAUUACGGUAGCUUGCUACUGUAGAUGGCGACCGGCGCACGGGUGAGUAACGCGUAUCCAACCUGCCCAUGACUUGGGGAUAACCUUGCGAAAGCAAGCCUAAUACCCGAUACGCUUCAUAGAUGGCAUCUGAAAUGAAGUAAAGGUUUACGGUUAUGGAUGGGGAUGCGUCUGAUUAGCUUGUUGGCGGGGUAACGGCCCACCAAGGCAACGAUCAGUAGGGGUUCUGAGAGGAAGGUCCCCCACAUUGGAACUGAGACACGGUCCAAACUCCUACGGGAGGCAGCAGUGAGGAAUAUUGGUCAAUGGACGGAAGUCUGAACCAGCCAAGUAGCGUGCAGGAUGACGGCCCUAUGGGUUGUAAACUGCUUUUAUGCGGGGAUAAAGCGGGCGACGUGUCGCCCCUUGCAGGUACCGCAUGAAUAAGGACCGGCUAAUUCCGUG
rnacentral:rRNA from 1 species